rnacentral:rRNA from 1 species
GACGAACGCUGGCGGCGUGCUUAACACAUGCAAGUCGAACGGUGAACUCCGCUUGCGGGGGGAUCAGUGGCGAACGGGUGAGUAACACGUGGGCAACCUGCCCUCAGCUCUGGGAUAACUCCAAGAAAUUGGGGCUAAUACCGGAUAUGACCGCUGACCGCAUGGUCUGGUGGUGGAAAGAUUUAUCGGCUGGGGAUGGGCCCGCGGCCUAUCAGCUUGUUGGUGGGGUAGUGGCCUACCAAGGCGACGACGGGUAGCCGGCCUGAGAGGGUGACCGGCCACACUGGGACUGAGACACGGCCCAGACUCCUACGGGAGGCAGCAGUGGGGAAUAUUGCGCAAUGGGCGAAAGCGUGACGCAGCGACGCCGCGUGGGUGAUGACGGCCUUCGGGUUGUAAACCUCUUUCAGCAGGGACGAAGCGAAAGUGACGGUACCUUCAGAAGAAGCACCGGCCAACUACGUG